CGGCCGUGGUGGUGGCUAUGGCGGCGGUGGUCGUGGCGGUGGAUAUGGCGGCUAUGGAAAAUAAAGCGGGCAACACAAGGAGAGACUUCGAAGUACAACAGAAAACGCUGACUGGUCUCCUGAUGUUGUGUUUUCAUGCUGUGAUUCUCCAUGUUAAAUAAACACCCAUAUACAA